UACGUAGGUGGCAAGCGUUAUCCGGAAUUAUUGGGCGUAAAGCGCGCGCAGGCGGUUUCUUAAGUCUGAUGUGAAAGCCCACGGCUCAACCGUGGAGGGUCAUUGGAAACUGGGGAACUUGAGUGCAGGAGAGAAGAGUGGAAUUCCACGUGUAGCGGUGAAAUGCGUAGAGAUCCGGAAGAACACCAGUGGCGAAGGCGGUCUGCUGGGCAGUUGCUGACACUGAUGCGCGACAGCGUGGGGAGCGAACAGG
rnacentral:rRNA from 1 species